UCUCCAGUACUGACACGCUUGACUUUACCAGCAAUCGAGUUGUAUGUACCGCUAAUAAAACCUUUGACCUUGAACUCAAUGUCGGCCUGUAGAUCGGUUUUGGGACAGCGGACGGUGACAUGAUCACCCAGUUCGAGUCGCAUCUUUCCAAAAAGGAUACCACGCGCAUACACGUUGGGCUGGGUAAUCAAGUACUCUUCAUCCAAGUCUUGUAAUUUGAUACUGGCAAUACCUUCCAUAAUACUGGCCGCCGAGUUUCCAAGAAAACGAGAACGAGGCUUUACCACACCAUCGAUCCGCACCUUGUACUCUGGGCAUAGG